GGAUUGAGUCCCGCGUCGGGCUCCCCGCAGGGAGCCUGCUUCUCCCUCUGCCUGUGUGUCUCUCAUGGAUAAAUAAAAUCUUAAAAAAAAAAAGAAAAGAAUGAGUGGGUUAGUUUUUAAAUGACUCUUCUCUGUUUUCACAAGUUCAGAAAUGCAUACAAGUCUGCAAAACUUGUGCCUACGGUAGGAAUGUUCUGUUGAGCGUGAGGCCGGCCCCUCCCAGUUCCUCUGCCAUUGGGAGCUCGGCUCCGUGGGUGCCGGGUCCCCCCAAGGGUCUUCCGAGAGGGGGUAACAGGGUUUUGAAAAUGCGAGGUGGUGUUCGUUAAAGCAAGCUCCAGCCUAUGAGGGCUGCGAUGGGGACCGUGGCCCCUUCCCCGCCGCAGGCUGUCCUGUGCGCUGCGACCGCGAGCGUCCUGGGUGGGGCGAGGGGGCCCGAGGCCGGGCUGCGGGCGCGCGGGUGAGGCCGUGGCGCUGGGUUCCCCGACGGCCCCGGGGUUCUUGUGGGCAAAGUCGGGCCGGGCGCGGGUCGGAGGGGACCAGGCCGCUGCCCUGCAGGUGGAGGCCCCGCCGCCAGCGCCCCCCCGACUCGGCCGCAGGAUCGUUCCGGAGAGGAAAGCGGGUCCCGGCCCAGCGUUGGGAGACGCGUGUGCCCCGCGCCCCGGAGGUGCAGGUACAGUCCCCAGGUGCGCAUCACCCGCCCAACCUGGACCGCUCAGGGGCUGACUACAGGAUUUCCACACCUUACCCCUAGAUGACUGCGGGUUCCAAAUCCCCAGAGUUAAAUGUCAUGGAAAAUUCCACUCUGGGUUUGUGCUACAUGGUGGGGACCUAGGAAUGAGCUCAGGGCAAUGCGGUCGCCUGACCUGAUCUCCCUCGCGUCUUCUUAAUGAAUCAAUCAAUGUGAGAUUGGACUUGGUUGGUUGGUUGUUGUUGUUGUUGUUGUUGUUUUCGUAAUUCAGAGAUGGUGCAGAGCGGGGAAGGGCAGAAGAUUUGAAGCAGACACAUCUAGGUUAGAAUCUCGGCUCGGGGCGCCUGGUGGCUCAGCGGUGAAGCAUCUGCCUUUCGCUCAGGGCAUGACCCCGGGGUCCCAGAUCGAGUCCUGCAUGGGGCUCCCCGCAGGAAGCCCGCCUCUCCCUCUGCCCGUGUCUCUGCCUCUCCCUGCAUCUUUCAUGAAUAAAUAAAUAAAAUCUUACA
rnacentral:lncRNA from 1 species